CGCAAGAAGGGAGCCAAGCUCACUCCUGAGGAAGAGGAGGUCAAAGAGGACCCAGAAGAAGUACGCAAAAAGACGGCAAAGAUCAGCCCCCUCUUGGAGGAGCAGUUCCAGCAGGGAAAACUGCUUGCUUGCAUUGCAUCCAGACCCGGCAGGUGUGACAGCUACAUCCUGGAAGGCAAGGAGCUGGAGUUCUACCUGAGGAAGAUCAAGGCCAAGAAAGGCAAAUAGAUGUUCAGCUGUUUGAUACGUCAAUAAAAUCCAAGUGCUCCA